rnacentral:rRNA from 1 species
AACGAACGCUGGCGGCAGGCUUAACACAUGCAAGUCGAGCGCCCCGCAAGGGGAGCGGCAGACGGGUGAGUAACGCGUGGGAAUCUACCCAUCUCUACGGAAUAACGCAUGGAAACGUGUGCUAAUACCGUAUACGUCCUUCGGGAGAAAGAUUUAUCGGAGAUGGAUGAGCCCGCGUUGGAUUAGCUAGUUGGUGGGGUAAAGGCCUACCAAGGCGACGAUUCAUAGCUGGUCUGAGAGGACGAUCAGCCACACUGGGACUGAGACACGGCCCAGACUCCUACGGGAGGCAGCAGUGGGGAAUAUUGGACAAUGGGCGCAAGCCUGAUCCAGCCAUGCCGCGUGAGUGAUGAAGGCCCUAGGGUUGUAAAGCUCUUUCACCGGUGAAGAUAAUGACGGUAACCGGAGAAGAAGCCCCGGCUAACUUCGUGCCAGCCGCCGCAGUAAGAC